UCAAUUUUUGGUGAAAAAAUUUGAUACGUGGGGGUAUACCCGAAAAAUGAAAAAACCCAAACUUUGAAGGUCGAUAUCUCGGCUUCUAUGGGAGCUAUCGGGGAAAUUCCAACGGUUUUGUCUUAGUUUCGUCAUUCUGAAUCCAACGAGACCAUCCGCAAGGUCGUAGCUCUUACGAUAGCCGAGAUAUGGCAUUUUUGAUGCCCAUUUUUGGCCUCAAAAACGGACGUCGAAAACGACUUUUUCAGGAUUUUCAAAGUGCUCUCAUUCCCUUAGUUCUGCUCGGAUCCUGUUAUAACCCGGUGUUUUCGUAAUCUAGGUGAUCCAAAUAAGACGCUGGUAUACUUAGUUUGAUUUCGAAAAAAAUCAAUUUUUGGUGAAAAAUUCGAUACGGGGGGGUAUACCCGAAAAAUGAAAAAACCCAAACUUUGAAGGUCGAUAUCUCGGCUUCUAUGGGAGCUAUCGGAAAAAUUCCAACGGUUUUGUCUUAGUUUCGUCAUUCUGAAUCCAACGAGACCAUCCGCAAGGUCGUAGCUCUUACGAUAGCCGAGAUAUGGCAUUUUUGAUGCCCAUUUUUGGCCUCAAAAACGGACGUCGAAAACGACUUUUUCAGGAUUUUCAAAGUGCUCUCAUUCCCUUAGUUCUGCUCGGAUCCUGUUAUAACCCGGUGUUUUCGUAAUCUAGGUGAUCCAAAUAAGACGCUGGUAUACUUAGUUUGAUUUCGAAAAAAAUCAAUUUUUGGUGAAAAAUUCGA